AUUGAUCGAUUUUCUUUUACUUUAUUACCAUCUUCUUACUUUUUCUUGUGUUAAAUAUUUAUAUUUGUCUCCCUUUAUCAUUCAUACAAUUUUGUUAAAUCUAAUACCUUAAAGUUUUUCUAAUUAAUAUUCCAAAAAUGUUUUUCUCUUUGUACAUUGUUUACUUAUUUGUUUGAUGUUUAACUUAUAAAGUAACUUUCUUUUUUCCUUUUUUUAUUAAGAAAUGGAGGAAAAUUGACAUUUAAUGAAAACCUAUAAAGCUUUAUUUUUAACUUAAGUAACUUUCUAGGACUUCUAGGAAAUUAUUUUUGUUGAAUAAAGCGUACAUUUAACUGAUUUAAUUUCGAAUGUUUAUUUCUCAGUCGAUUCAAAUAAAGUAUCUUUUUGCAUAAAGAUUUAUCUUAAAAUUUAAUAAUUAUAACUCUUUUGCUUAUCUAAAACAUUACAAAAUCGUUUAUUUGUAUACAUUUUCAAAGAAAAAUUACCUGUAUGUAUCAUUUCCAAGUUCCAAGCACAACGAAAACUUUUUAAAAAUGACAGAUGGAAGAUGUUUAUCGAAGCGGUCAAGCCGAUGUUUCCGGUAAUAAAGACUCCAGGACUUUAAAAAAAAAGAAAACGAUCGUUACAUAACGUUCUGACCUUAGAGCAAAAAUAGAUGUUAUGUGAUUUUUGAAAUUUUCUUAAAUUUGUUACAGUGUUAAAAAGAGCUUUAAAAGGUUCAAUAUUCAAUAGUCUUUUUUUAAAUACCUUAUUUUUCUAAGAAAGAAAGGGGUGUGUUGUAUUGUCACUUUAAGUUUAAUUACUCAUGUAUAUAUCUUAUAUAAUUCAAAUAAAUGACGAACACAGUUUUGAGCAGAUACAUGUUUUUAUUUCAAAAUGGGAACAUUGAACAUGACAUGAUUGACAAUAUGCGAAUCAGCCUCAGAUAUUCUAGUCAAAUGUCGGAUACGAUUGUAUAGUUCCUAUUCAUAACUCAUUAUAACUCAUUUUGUGACACAAUUUGUUGACAUUUUUAUGUGGGUAGUUGGCAUAUAUUUACUGGCAUAUAUUAACUGGUUUGAAAAUCCAGUCUAGAGUUAGGAAUUGAUCAGAGUAAAACGUUGUACACUUAUGUAGAAUAAAAAUGUAAAGGUUUGUUCUGUUUUUUCUCUCUAGUUUUGUAUUGUUGACAAUAUAGAUAUAUAGUGAAAAUGCUGACUUUAGAAUAUCAAUAAAAACUAUUGAAACAUACUUGAAUUCAGUCUGUUAAUUGUUCGGUUUUAUUUUUAUUUCCUUAUCGCCUUUUUCUUCAUAUUUUGUCCAUAGAAAAGGGCCUAAAUUAUACAUUUAAAGAAUUCUUAAGUUUUUUUAACUAUAAAUGUAUCAAUACAAGCUAAAUUGCAUGCCAUUCUACACUUUUAUAUCUAUUUUGUCCGCAUUUUUUUCUGAAUAACAACAGCAAAAAUAUAUUAUAUAUAAACCUUUUUACGCUGCAGUCCGUUGCUAGGAAAAAUCGAUCGAAAGUAGUAUUUUCUCGCUCAUGCACAAUCUGUGUAGGGCAAAAAGAGCAUCGCCAUACAUAGAAAGUAUAGUAGAAGUUUAUUGACAAUUCCGAGUAAGUUUAAGGUAAAAGUAUAAAAUUAUAUGAAAUAGCUU